UUCGCUACCGAUCUUGGUGAGGGAAACGGACGGAACGACGAGAUCUGAGAGACUAUCCAAGAACGGUAAGGUUGUUACCGAACCUCUUUUCGACGCUCGAAACUCAUCGUGUGACUAAGCAAAAAUCAAGAAAAUAAUAUUGGCACGUAGGUUGAUAGAUGAUCUAUAACUUUGUUGAAGAAACCACCUCUGUUUGGGUUAAGAAUCGAAAGAUAGAAAAUGGAAAGAAACCUCGGAAAAACUAAUCGGAAGCCUUGAUUUUCUGGUAGGAGGAGAGAGAAGCCGCCGGCGUACCACGCGUCAACCAACCAGAGGGCCGCGUGCGCCAAUCGCCCCCGGACACGCGUCGAGCGCCGCCUGGGAAAACGCGGCUCCAGCGCUCCUGCGACACGCGUCCCUGGCUCCGCGACCCGACCCGCGCUCCUUGGCUGACCCGAUACCCGCACGGCGAACCGAAUCCAGUUGACGACCCGCGGUCCACCCGAAUCACCGCUUCCGACCCGAACCCGCGACCCGCGACUGCAGGAAUUUCUGGGCGCGUGACACUCGCGCGUGGAACCCGCGAGUGGCUGCUCCCCAGCGCGUGACUGGCGCGUGGAGGCGCGUGACCUUAUUGAGGAAAAAUCACCCCCUCUCGUUACGCCAAGUGUGUGGAAACGCUGCGUAAGGGCACGUAGCAUCCAAGUACGUGAGGCGUCGAGUCAAGAGAGGGCGCGUCGAUCGAUGUGGGUUGUCACAGAGGAAGCGUGUCCCGGGGCGUCAGUCUAGUUUACUAAAUAGUACACUUUGUCUCACAUGUUCCUUUCCUUGUUUUUCUUUUACCUAGGCACUUAUGUCCUUCUAAUAAAGAUAUGUUUUUCUUUUGAAACAAAUGAUUUCCUUGAAUUUCUCGUUUAUGCAUUACAUGUCAUACAAUGUUA